CCUCACCGCUGUGGUCGAGUCCCGAGGGCUCCAAUCCAGAAGACGACUGGGAGGCACCAAGGCUUUGUGGGUCUUCACGACUGGGCUCCCUGCUGUUUAAAUCCUCUGUCUCAGCACUGAACAGACAGCAAUAAGAAAGGACCGCAAUUACCAGCCACAGCUUUACAGCCUGUGAACUGGGUGGCCUUCGAGUCACUGGUCAGCAAACCGCUUCUUUCCUCCAAACUGCCGCAGGGACUUUCAUGGCGACAACAGCACCAGUUCCCCAUCUGCUUGCUCCCUCAGCCUGGGAGGUCGGACAGGCUGUAGGCUGAAUGAGGCCUCUGGUCCAAAGCAACCACAAGCGACCUGGCGAGUCGCCGAAGCCUGAAGAUUUCAGGACUCCAUGAUGACGACGGAGGGAUAAGCUGCUGCUAACGCAAGGGAGAAACCAUGUUUAUGUCCUAUAAAAAGUGUGUUGACAGCUAAAAGCACAGAAUGAGUGAUCAACACACUGACUGUGAUCUAACACGUUACAGUUUGUUAUGUAACAAGUUCCCGUUACUGUAAGUACACAAUUUGUCGUAUUUAAUAAAAUACAAAAUUUUGGUA